CUGACUAUAUUGUCACAAUGAUGCCGUUGGUCACGAAAUUGUGGGGCUUCAAUCUCCAGGAAUCCCCCUGACCCACAUGGACUGUUUUGGAAUGCUUUACUUACUUAUUGAACUAGUUAUAGACAAUAAUGAAUGUGAACGCAGUAUGAAUUUUAUGCAAUACGGAAUAUUGAAACUUUUUUUUGUCCUUUAUAAAUUUAUGAAAUUUAAUUUUUUAAGUAUGGUAAUGCUGUGUUGCGAGGUCUUUGAUUUUGAGUCGAGGUUAAAAAAAUAAUUUAGUUACAAAUUUUGAAGUCUGGUUGUUAAUUUUUUUUUUUUGGACAGAAUUUAACUCUUUCUUUUUCUCAACUAGGUUUGUCGAGUUCAAUUCCAUUCCACCACGCCCAGAAACACCCAGUAUUGGGAUUGCGGUAAUGAUGAUAAUGAAUUUAUAUGGAACACAACACGUAACGCAUAUACUUUAGUGUAUACAACACAUGGUCAUAGUGAAAAAAGGAAAACUAUUGUUGAACUUAAAUGCUCCAAGGAAGAAACAAUACCAUUGUUAGAGGUUAAGGGAGAGAUCCAAACGAGGGUUCAUGAAAUGAGAUUAACAAGUAGAUGUGCAUGUCCUGAUCUUUGCUCUGAUGUUCCUGUUUCUGGUAGUUCUACAUUGAGAUUUCAUUUUGUUACUAUUAUUUGUUUCAUGUUUCUCACUAUGAUAUUUCAACUGAUUUUUCACAUUUAGAUCAUGUAAGUAAUUUUUAAAGCAAAACUUUUUCUUAUAGAAUAAAAAGUGAUGAUUAAAUUUUUUGUGUUUAGGUUA
rnacentral:lncRNA from 1 species